CCUACGGGAGGCAGCAGUGAGGAAUAUUGGUCAAUGGACGAGAGUCUGAACCAGCCAAGUAGCGUGAAGGAUGACUGACCUAUGGGUUGUAAACUUCUUUUAUAUGGGAAUAAAAUGUUCCACGUGUGGGAUUUUGUAUGUACCAUAUGAAUAAGGAUCGGCUAACUCCGUGCCAGCAGCCGCGGUAAUACGGAGGAUCCGAGCGUUAUCCGGAUUUAUUGGGUUUAAAGGGAGCGUAGGUGGAUUGUUAAGUCAGUUGUGAAAGUUUGCGGCUCAACCGUAAAAUUGCAGUUGAAACUGGCAGUCUUGAGUACAGUAGAGGUGGGCGGAAUUCGUGGUGUAGCGGUGAAAUGCUUAGAUAUCACGAAGAACUCCGAUUGCGAAGGCAGUUCACUGGACUGCAACUGACACUGAGGCUCGAAAGUGUGGGUAUCAAACAGGAUUAAAUACCCCAGUAGUC
rnacentral:rRNA from 1 species